rnacentral:tRNA from 1 species
AGCUCAGUUGGUAGAGCAUGGCUCUUGCAACGCCAGUAUAGUGGGUUCAAUUCCCUU